rnacentral:lncRNA from 1 species
UCUUGAACUCUGUCCCAUUGUCCCAUCCUCAAGCAAGCAUUUAAUUCAUGAAUCUUAGUAUAUAAAAUAGCAUUCUCUUUUCUAAGAUUGGAAAUAGAAACAUUGCAAACAUCCAAGUCUUUAGCCUUUGAAAUUAAACUAGCAUUUUCAAGUUUAAGGCUAGAAAUUGAUUCAUUCAAUUUAUCAAUCUUAGCAAUCAAACUAUCAAUUUCAUUUCUAAGAUUGGCAAUUGAAUCAUGGCAAUCAUUUGAUUUUUCAACCUUAGCAAUUAAAUUACAAUUCUCAGUUCUAAGGUUGAAGAUAGUGUCAUGGAAAAUGCUAAGCUCUUUAGUCAAGUUUUCACAUUUCUCUAUCUCCUAAGCAUAAGCAUUUUUCACCUUAACAUGUUUUUUAGUUUCCUUAAUAAGGAAUUCCUCUUGGCUAUCCAAGAGUUCAUCCUUCUCAUGAAUAGCACCUAUUAAUUCAUUUAAUUUUUCUUUUUGUUGCAUGUUAAGGUUGGCAAAAAGACUAAGCAAGUUAUCUUCAUCAUCACUAGAACUACCAUCAUCACUAGAUGUAGUAUACUAGGGGGUGGUUCUAGCUUGUACCUUCUUUUUCUUGUCGUCCUUUGCCAUGAGGCACUUGUGGUCGACAUUGGGGAAGAGAAGUCCCUUGUUGCCGGCGAUGUUGGCGGCGUCCUCGUCGGAGGAGGAGUCGGUGGAGCUCAUGUCCGAGUCCCAUUCCUAACAUAUGUGGGCAUCGCCGCCCUUCUUCUUGUAGUACUUCUUCUUUUCCUUUCUCUUUCCCCUCUUGUCGUCACCCCUGUCACUAUCACUUGACAUAGGACAUUUAGCAAUGAAAUGACUGGGCUUACCACACUUGUAGCACACCGUUUUGGAGCGGGGUUUGUAGUCCUUCCCCCUCCUUUGCUUGAGGAUUUGGUGGAAGCUCUUGAUAAUGAGUGUCAUCUCCUCGUUGUCGAGCUUAGAGGCAUCGAUGGGGAGCCUACUUGAUGUAGACUAUUCUUUCUUCUCCUCCAUCGCUUUGAAUGCGACGGGUUGCACCUCGGGUGUGGAAGUGUCACCUUGCUCCAAGUUGAUGAUUUGUUUGGAGCCUUUGAUCAUCAAUUCAAAGCUCACAAACUUUCCUAUCACUUCCUCCGGAGACAUUAAUUUGUAUCUAGGAUCCCCAUGAAUUAAUUGUACUUGAGUAGGAUUGCGAAAAACAAGGGAUCUUAGAAUAACCUUGACCAUCUCAUGGUCAUCCCAUUUUGUGCUCCCGAGGUUGCGCACUUGGUUGACCAAGGUCUUGAGCCGGUUGUACAUUGCUUGUGGCUCCUCUCCUUGGUUGAGGAUGAAUCGACCAAGUUCCCCCUCGAUCGUCUCCCGCUUGGUGAUCUUGGUCACCUCAUCCCCUUCGUGCGCGGUCUUUAGUACAUCCCAAAUCUCUUUGGCACUUUUUAGCCCUUGCACCUUAUUAUAGUCCUCUCGACAUAGAGAGGCGAGGAGUAUAGUGGUGGCUUGGGAGUCAAAAUGCCGGAUUUGGGCGACCUUGUCCGAAUCAUAUCCUUCAUCCCCUACGGAUGGUACCUGCGUUCCAAACUCAACAAUAUCCCAUAUGCUUGCGUGGAGUGAGGUUAGAUGAUGCCUCAUUUUAUCACUCCACAUACAAUAAUCUUCACCAUAAAAAACCAGUGGUUUGCCUAAUGGGACGGAAAGUAAAGGAGUGUGUUUAGAAAUGCGAGGAUAGCGUAGGGGGAUCUUACUAAACUUCUUGCGCUCAUGGCGCUUAGAAGUAACAGACGGCGCGUCGGAGCCGGAGGUGGAUGGCGACGAAGAAUCGGUCUCGUAGUAGACCACUUUCUCCAUUUUCUUCCUCUUGUCGCCACUCCAAUGCGACUUGACGCGGGGAGGUGAUUUCUCCCUUCCUUUGGCACCGGACUCCCUUGAUGGAGCCUUCCCGUGGCUUGUGGCUGUUUCCAUCUCCCUCUUGGCGUGAUCUCCCGACAUUACUUCGAGUUUUUAAACUCUAAUGAAGUAUCGGGCUCUGAUACCAAUUGAAAGUCGCCUAGAGGGGGGUGGAUAGGCGGAAACUGAAAUUUACAAACUUAAAGCACACUACAAGCCGAGGUUAGCGUUAGAAUAAAAAUCGAGUCCGAGAGAGAGGGGGAAAACAAAUCAACCAAGAAAUAAAGCAGAUGACACGGUGAUUUGUUUUACCGAGGUUCGGUUCCAAAGAACCUAGUCCCCAUUGAGGUGGUCACAAAGACCGGGUCUCUUUCAACCCUUUCCCUCUCUCAAACGGUCACUUAGACCGAGUGAGUUUCUUCCUUGAUUUCUCGGGUCACUUAGACCCCGCAAGGACCACCACACAAUUUGUGUCUCUUGCUUCGCUUACAAGGCUUUGAGAGUAAGAAUGAGAGAAAGAAGAAAGCCAACCAAGCAACAAGAGCAACAAAGAACAUAAGACGAUCUUCUCACAAGUCCUAAAAUACUAGAGUUGAAUUGUGGACUUUGAUUGGAUCGAAGGCUUUGAUUUGUGUCUUGGAGUGUUGUAUUUUGCUCUUGUAUUUAAUGAGGAGUAGUGAAUGCUUGGAUGGUUGGAGUGGAGAUGGUUGGGGGGUAUUUAUAGCCCUCAACCACCAAUUCAACCGUUGGGGCAGGCUGUUGUCGACGGGCGCACCGGACAGUCCGGUGCGCCAGCCACGUCACCCAACCGUUAGGGUUCUGACGGUUUCGACCGUUGGAGCUUUGUCUUCAUGUGGCACCGGACAGUCCGGUGCCGCACCGGACAGCUACUGUUCACUGUCCGGUGCGCCUCUGGCGACUGCUCUGACUUCUGCGCGCACUGUUCUUCACUGUUCACGUUGCAGGCGACCGUUGGAGUCAACCGUUGCGCUGGCUAGCCGUUGCUCCGCUGGCACACCGGACAGUCUGGUGAAUUAUAGCGAAGCGCGGCCUCAGAAACCCGAAGGUGAAGAGUUGGAGUCGAUCGCCCCUGGUGCACCGGACACUAUCCGAUGGUGCACCGGACAUUGUCCGGUGCGCCAGACCAGGGUUCUCUUCGGUUUCUUUUGCUCCUUUCUUUUGAAAUCCUAACUUGAUCUUUUUAUUGGUUUGUUUUGAACCUUUAGCACCUAUAGAAUAUAUGAUCUAGAGCAAACUAGUUAGUCCAAUUAUUUGUGUUGGGCAUUCAACCACCAAAAUCAUUUAUAGGAAAAGGUUAAACCCUAUUUCCCUUUCAAUAACUCAUCCAUAUACGUGGACACGGACUAUUCUAAUAAAUUUUGAACUCUGCACAGAGGUGUGCUCUCUAUCCACUAGUCCGGUUUCUGCAAUUUCAACGUCAUGAGUUUCGAAUACCGAAACUCUCUCCUCCCUUGCACGGCUUUGCCUUAACGGUUAUACCAAAAGGAACAAGGUAACCUCCUCACCCAAACCAGGAUGUAAUUAUUCCCCCACCUUGUCCUUUCGGUGCUCCCUAGCCACCGAUAAGCCAGGGGUGCAGACUGUGCAAGUUCAGAUUAAGCGACUGUCCAUACAGUCCCGAGUGGUUGUACUUGAUAAGAGUUUAGGUAAGGAGUGAUGACAAGCCGGUCCUUAUGCGAGACGGGACAAUCAUUCAUGCUCACACCUAACCCGGCUGAGCCAACUUCUUAGGGCCCUCCCAAACCAGGGAGUCCUGAUCAUCCCGCUCAUGGUGGUGACAGAGAUAAAUGUUCACCCUUUUUUUGAAAACAAGUUUCUUUUAAAAAAACUCACACCUUUUAUCAAAUCAUUUUGUAAUAAAAAUGUCAAGGAGUAUAAAAAAUUUUUGCGACAAAGUUCUAAGGUUGGGUGGCCAUAUUAACAUGUCUCUUAGUAGCAAAAUAAUGUAAUGCAUAAAAUAACAGGCUGAGUGAUGUGUUUGAAAGCAUAGAUAAUUUAUACAUCAAAGAGAUCUAGUGGGUUUGUCGUGCCUUAACUAGCGAAAGGGUGAGAGCUUGUUGUACUAGCUUCUGGCUUCACCGACUGGCAUGGACUUGCGGAACUGGCAUUCAUGGGACAUCACGAACGCUCCGAUAACUAUGCAGCAAGAAUAAGCAAACAUACAAACCAGCAAGUAUAUCAACUAAAAUUCUUUAUAGUGGUCAGGAAUGGUGGUGGAUGGGUGAAUAUAGAUUUGAGUAGAGUUUGUAUUGAUGGAGUAGAGAUGCUUACCCGACAUGCAUUUAGAUCGGCAUCCUCUUCAAUGAAAUCAAUUAAAUAAAGCUUAUCGUCUAAUACACCUUUAAAAGCUAAUGUACCAUCACUUAUUCUAAAGACAGAUACAUCAAUAUUUGUAAAGAAACAAUUACAGCUCAUAUGACAUAAUUGACUUAUAGAAAGCAAAAUGUAACCAAGCGAUUCUACUAAGAAAACAUUAGAUAUUGAAUGCUCAGUAAUGAUGGCUAUUUUACCCAAACCUUUGAGCUUGCCAUGAUUCCCGUCUCCAAAGACAAUCGUAUCUUGGGAAUCCUUGUUUUUGACGUAGGAGGUGAACAUCUUCUUCUCCCCCAUCAUAUGGUUUGUGCAUCCACUGUCAAUAAUCCAACUUGUGCCUCCGGAUGCAUAAACCUGCAAGGUGAUUUAAGCCUGGGAUUUAGGUACCCAACUCUUGUUGGGUCCUACAAGGUUAGUCACAUAAGACUUUGGAACCAAAAUACAAGUUUUGCCUCUCUUGCACUUAGGCCCCACAUUUCUAGCAAUAACUUUUUCAUUUUUACACAUAAGCACAAAUGAAGCAUCAUAAGUAUGAUAAAACAUAGUUGGACCAUUAGAUGCAUUCCUAGGCGCAUGGGAAACAACAUGAUGAGUAUGGCGCCUAGGUCUACUCCUACCAUGAACAUACAAAGAGGUAGAGGAUGCAAACAUGGCAUGUGAAUCAAAGGCAGCAUCAUGACGUACAGGUAAAACAACAUGAUUAUAACAACCAUCAUGAUGAGCAGCAUUAGUGGCAUUCUUAACAUGAGCAUACAAAUAGGCAUGGUUCUUUUUGUCAUGAAAAGAAUGAGAACUACUAGCCAUAGGUGCCUUCCCUUUCUCCUUGAUGAGAUUGGAGGCCCUUUGGCUUAAGUUCUUGGUCCCCUUUUGGAAACCAAGUCCAUCCUUAAUGGAGGGAUGUCUACCAAUGGUGUAGGCAUCCCUUGCAAAUUUUAUUUCAUCACACUCAUUCUUGCAAGUUUUAAGUUGGGCAUUAAGGUUUGCAAUUUCAUCAUUCAACUUAGAGAUAGUGGAAGCAUGAGUAUUGCAAGCAUCAAUAUCAAUUUCUUUACAUCUAUUGCAAAUAGAAACAUGAUCCAUAGAUGAACUAGCAACAUUUACUUUUUCUAGCUUAGCAUUUAAAUUGUUAAGACUAGAAAUAGAAUCACGACAAGACGAUAACUCAGAAGAAAGUAAUUCAUUUUUCUUAAUUUCAACAGCUAGAGAUUUUUCAGCAUUAAUACACUUAUCAUGUUCUUCAUAUAGAAUAUCGUAUUGUUUCUCUAGCAAUCUAUCCUUCUCAUUAAGGGCAUCAAUUACUUCAUUGAUUUUAUCUACUUUAGAUCUAUCUAAACCUUUAAAGAUAUCGCUAUAGUCUACAUCAUCAUCAUAUUCCUCAUCACUAGAAGAAGUGUACUUAGGGGUAUCUCGAGUACGUACCUUCUUCUCCUUAGCCAUGAGGCAUGUGUGAUGCUCGUUGGGGAAGAGGAAGGACUUGUCGAAGGCUGAGGCAGCAAGUCCCUUAUCGUCGGAGUCGGAUGAAGAGCAAUCUGAGUCCCACUCUUUGCCAAUGUGCGCCUCGCUCUUCGUCUUCCUGUAGUUCAUUGAUAAGUACGGGAUUAUCACUACUAUCAAAUGCAUUCCAUUUUCCACUAUCUCCCAAAUACUAGGAUGGGGAGAAAAUAAACAUUUUAUGACUCUAGAAAGAAUAAUCUUCUCCAUCAAAGUGGGGGGGUUUCCAAGUGGAAUAGACAAUAAAUGUGCAUUCGAAUUAUAAGGGAUGUGUGAAUAAUCAAAAGAAUAGUUUUGAUUAAUCGUUUUUUUUCGAUGAAGAGUCUUCGUCGUCGUCAUCCAUUGGUGAAGAAGAAGAGGUGUUGUUGUCGUAGUAGAUGUUCUUCUUGAUGCGCCUCUUCUUUCUAUCCUUCCUUUUGUUGGUUGAGUCUGAGUCGGUGGGCUUGUCACCUUUUGGCUCAUCAAAAUAGAGAGUCUCCUUCUCCUUCUCCUUGUCGUUGAUCACCAUCCCCUUGCCCUUAGGAUCCAUCUCUUCGGGUGGUUAGUCCCUUGAUGAAGAGAACAACUCUAAUAUCAAUUGAGAGCACCUAGAGGGGGUGAAUAUGUGAUCCUGUAAAAAACAGCUCAACAAAACAAACUUGGACUAAUAUUGAAUUAGUGGAAGCAAGAGCCAAGUUCGAAUGAGGAUUAUGAGCGGAGUAAACUUCUUCACUUAAUUGCUCUUCACUAUGUGAGCAUUAAACUUAGAGCAAUAAUGUAAGUGAAGUGGAUAGAGAGAAAAUCGCAGUAGGAUAAGGAUACGUGACACAACGAUUUUUAUCUCGUGGUUCGGUCAAGUAGAAUACUUGCCUACUCCACGUUGUGGCGUCCCAACGGACGAGGGUUGCACUCAACCCCUUUCAAGUGAUCCAAAGGUCAACUUGAAUGCCACGGUUCUGUUUAUCUCAACAAUACCCCAUUGUGAGUUAUCUCCACAAUUUGGAGUCUCUCACGCCUAACACAAAUGAUCUCAAAUAAACACAAGAGUAAGGGGGAAUAGAAACACACACAAGAGCGAGAGUUGCAGCAGCAACACACACACAAGACAAGAAAGAGCACACGAAACAACACAGCGGAGUUACAGCUCAAAGAAGUGCUCAAAUCUAUAUCACAAUGAAACGAAUGCGUGUUUGCGGAUUCUCGGCAUUGUAAGAUGUUUAAUGGGUGCUUGGUGUAAUGCUCCAUAUGCCUAGGGGUCCCUUUUAUAGCCCCAAGGCAGCUAGGAGCCGUUGGCGUCCCAUUUGUAAGGCCCUGGUUGCCUUCUAUCCGUGGACGCAGUCUGGUGCACCACCGGACAAUGAACAGUGUGUGAUUUCCUUCCUUAUUUGGCAAGACGACCAUUGUCAGCCACUGGUCCCACGGCGCAUCGGACAGGCUGGUGUCACACCAGACAGUCCAGUGUUGCAUGUUGACCGUUGGCUGAGCCACGUGUCGCCCGCUGAUCGCGCGGUCGAUCGUUAGCAGGGCGCGUGGCUGGCACAUCGGAUAGUCCGGUGCACAAUCAUGUCUUGUUUCAUCUCGUUUUCAUGUGCUUUUCCUAAAUAUAGGAUCUCCGACAGGGGGAGUAUAUCUUCUUUCAUACAAAAGGGGAGAAUAUUCUUUCAAAGGGGGUGAGCUCUCUUUUAGGGGGAGUAAUCAUUUUAGAGGGCAAGUCUUUGAUUGCUUCCUAUAUGAUUUUAAUGUCUUCCUUUUGGUGUUUGAUUCCAAAGGGGGCGAAGUUUUAGGGACCAAAGCAAAUUCAAAAUAUAUCAAAUAUCAAACACCACCCAAUUUAAAAUUUAAAAACUUGAGCUUACAAGCAGUUUUGGUUCUACAAGUGUUUUUGGUCUAAAAUAGGAAGUAUGUGGAUUAUGGUGUUAGGGGAGGCUUAAGCCCAUAAUGUCACGUUGUGGGGACAUUCAUGCAUCCUAGCAAGUAGAUUGCAUAUUUUUAUCAAAAUAUUUUUUAUAUUUGCUUGCUUUGGUUGUGUUGUCAUCAAUCACAAAAAGGGGGUUGUAAGGAAAAUGGACCUCGACCCAUUUAACUAAAUGAUUUUGGUGGUUGAUGAUCAACAUAAUCUGUUGACUAAUGUGUCUGCUAGUUUUUAUAUUUGUAGUUCAUAGGAUGUUAAAGUGACUUGGACUAAGGCACUGAGGAAGCAACACCUCAAAAGAAGAUAUUAUGAAACCAUAUGUGAAGAUCAAAAAGUAUCAAGCAAAGUCCAAGACAUGAAGAGAGUGUAGCCACUCGCGAACCAUCUGUCCAAGUGCAGCGGAUUGUCCGAUGGCUCACCGGAUAGUCCGGUCCACCCGGUGGACUAUCCGGUGCACCAAGAAAUAGUAGUCCAACACCUAGUUCCUGGUGGCACAGUGGAGGAAAGCCACUGAAUUGUACGGUGCACCACCGGACUGUCCGGUGUGUUGCAGAGAGCAGUAGCUUUUCUGCAAUGGCUAUAUUCGAGUUGGGACCUAUAUAUAUUUCACCCAACCGGCCAUUUGAAGGGGUGGCAGUCCAAGCAACUGCUUGGGAGUCCUUGCAAUUUGAAUAAACCAAGAUCUUACCAUGACUGCAAUUUUAGAGAGACGCGAAAGUACAAGCCUGUGGGGUCGCUUCUGCAACUGGAUAACUAGCACCGAAAACUGUAUUUACAUUGGAUGGUUCGGUGUUUUGAUGAUCCCUACCUUAUUGACCGCAACUUCCGUAUUUAUUAUCGCCUUCCAACACAUGUUAUAGACAUUUCCAAGUGCUCA